UUUGCUUCUCAGCCUUUUGGCUCAGAUCAAGUAUAGUAUCUGUGCUUAUAGUAUAAUAUCUGAUGCAUCCUCUUUCCGAGGACAUUCUAUUAAAUGGAUUUUUGGAGCUGGGAGAUGGAACAGGAGCUUGCUCCGUCCUUUCCAUGCAUCCACCAAGUACUGUAGUACUUCUGGGAAUGGUGCAUUAACA